UCUCAGGACGAACGCUGGCGGCGUGCCUAAUACAUGCAAGUCGAGCGGACAGAUGGGAGCUUGCUCCCUGAUGUUAGCGGCGGACGGGUGAGUAACACGUGGGUAACCUGCCUGUAAGACUGGGAUAACUCCGGGAAACCGGGGCUAAUACCGGAUGGUUGUUUGAACCGCAUGGUUCAAACAUAAAAGGUGGCUUUGGCUACCACUUACAGAUGGACCCGCGGCGCAUUAGCUAGUUGGUGAGGUAACGGCUCACCAAGGCAACGAUGCGUAGCCGACCUGAGAGGGUGAUCGGCCACACUGGGACUGAGACACGGCCCAGACUCCUACGGGAGGCAGCAGUAGGGAAUCUUCCGCAAUGGACGAAAGUCUGACGGAGCAACGCCGCGUGAGUGAUGAAGGUUUUCGGAUCGUAAAGCUCUGUUGUUAGGGAAGAACAAGUACCGUUCGAAUAGGGCGGUACCUUGACGGUACCUAACCAGAAAGCCACGGCUAACUACGUGCCAGCAGCCGCGGUAAUACGUAGGUGGCAAGCGUUGUCCGGAAUUAUUGGGCGUAAAGGGCUCGCAGGCGGUUUCUUAAGUCUGAUGUGAAAGCCCCCGGCUCAACCGGGGAGGGUCAUUGGAAACUGGGGAACUUGAGUGCAGAAGAGGAGAGUGGAAUUCCACGUGUAGCGGUGAAAUGCGUAGAGAUGUGGAGGAACACCAGUGGCGAAGGCGACUCUCUGGUCUGUAACUGACGCUGAGGAGCGAAAGCGUGGGGAGCGAACAGGAUUAGAUACCCUGGUAGUCCACGCCGUAAACGAUGAGUGCUAAGUGUUAGGGGGUUUCCGCCCCUUAGUGCUGCAGCUAACGCA
rnacentral:rRNA from 1 species